rnacentral:rRNA from 1 species
GUACACUCCUGCGGGAGGCAGCAGUGGGGAAUAUUGGACAAUGGGCGCAAGCCUGAUCCAGCCAUGCCGCGUGAGUGAUGAAGGCCCUAGGGUUGUAAAGCUCUUUCACCGGUGAAGAUAAUGACGGUAACCGGAGAAGAAGCCCCGGCUAACUUCGUGCCAGCAGCCGCGGUAAUACGAAGGGGGCUAGCGUUGUUCGGAUUUACUGGGCGUAAAGCGCACGUAGGCGGACUAUUAAGUCAGGGGUGAAAUCCCGGGGCUCAACCCCGGAACUGCCUUUGAUACUGGUAGUCUUGAGUUCGAGAGAGGUGAGUGGAAUUCCGAGUGUAGAGGUGAAAUUCGUAGAUAUUCGGAGGAACACCAGUGGCGAAGGCGGCUCACUGGCUCGAUACUGACGCUGAGGUGCGAAAGCGUGGGGAGCAAACAGGAUUAGAAACCCUAGUAGUCCCAUGAU